rnacentral:rRNA from 1 species
UAAUGGCAGGUCAGCAUACUGCCGUGAAUACUUCCCGGGCCCUUGUACACACCGCCCGUCACACCAUGAGAGUUGGAAAUACCCGAAGCCUGUGAGCUAACUGUAAAGAGGCAGCAGUUGAAGGUAGAGCCAAUGAUUGGGGUGAAGUCGUAACAAGGUACC